AGGUGCAAUCUGCUAUAGGAUACAUUAAAUAUGUAUGUAAAAUAUUAAGUAUUUUUAUCUGGGUUUCUAUGUUAAAGCUAGUAUGGUAACAAGCCACUUAACUAGUAAACUUUGUAACCAGGUCCUAGAUUUUUACAACAGAUACGAGUGACUCUUUUACCAGUGCAGAUCUUGGAAGCGAUAGAGCCAGGUGGUUUAGCUGUGUUGUGACGAGUAAUAAGACCCAGGGAGGCAAAACAAUUUAUUGUUUGCUACCUCUUAUUUGGUGCACAAAUUAUAAACAGAGAAAAGCAUAGAUUUCUUUCAAAAAGAUGAAGGAAGGAAGCUGUCCUGAGGCUUACAAGCCAAAAGAAAUCCCAUGGUCUCUUAAUGUUAGAGGAACUAGCUUACUUGCUAUAGGUAGGAAAGCACUGGGUGAUAUAGUUUUAGUAUGUCAG